UACAGAGGUCCCAAGCGUUGUUCGGAUUCAUUGGGCGUAAAGGGUGCGUAGGUGGCGCUGUAAGUCGGGUGUGAAAUUUCGGAGCUUAACUCCGAAACUGCAUUCGAUACUGCGGUGCUUGAGGACUGGAGAGGAGACUGGAAUUCAUGGUGUAGCAGUGAAAUGCGUAGAGAUCUCCAAGAACACCAGUUGCGAAGGCGGCUGACUGGACUCAUAUUGACGCUGAGGCUCGAAAGCAUGGGGAGCAAACAGG
rnacentral:rRNA from 1 species